UGAGACGAUCAGACCUGUUGUACAUGCCAUAUUCUCUGUAAAAUGAAAAUCACCAGCAUAUACAGAUGCAAAAGCAAAGACUCUCUGUACUAAAGUAAAUUGUGUUUAUUGUCACGGUAAAUACAUUAUUGACAAAAACAUAAACUUCUUCAAUGUGUCAGGUAAAUAAUGAAAGAAUAAUCAUUGAAUGCACUGGGAGACGAAACAUGUCAUGUCUCCGAGGCACAAACAUGAUUUAUAAUCACAUUAACUUGUACACAAGAAGAAGAAUGCAUGUUUUCAAAAUCAAGGUAAAAUAAAACUACCUUUCAUUCACAGAAAAAAGGAAAAUUACCGGUAUAAUCACAGCUUUACCUGGGGAGUUCUUUAGGCCAGGAGUAAAUAUGUCCACCUGUAUAUUACAGACUUAGGAGUAAUAGAACAUGUAUUAUACCCAGUUAGGCAUCAUCUAUGCCUGGUACACAAUUGCCCUCGAUCCAUAAAACUUUUAUCUAUGGUAAUCAUAUUCACCCUCUAUCAAUUCCCGUUUAACUAUAGCUCAUUCAGCUGGUUGUAUCCUGAUAUUGUAAUUAUACAUAUGAACUUAUUUUUAAACACAGGAACUUGACUGACAUACCGGUAUAUGUGUUCUUAAUGUUUUUCAGGAUUACGUACAUUGUAAAUAUUACAGCUGCAUGAAAAUGACUGGUUGAUCCAGCUGUUGUGUUUGUGUACAUUGGAACAGAAGAAACUGUUAUACAAACAAGUCAUCGUCAGGCUUCUGUUGUUGACCAGUGGCCGACAUCAGCACUGACCAAAGGGGGCCCCCCAACAACGCACUCUAGCUGUCCCAGCGUCCAAGCCACCUGCACCUGUUACAGGACUGUCACGUUCUAUUGAACUCUCGUUACUGCACCUCAGUGAACAUUCAGUGUUGUGCAGUAGGAGUGUUGGUUGACCUCUGCAGACUUUAUGUGUGUGCUGCCCAUGAUGUAAUUGAAACAGAAACAGUAAAUGAGGGACAAUCAGAACAGAAUGACAAAAUAGCAUGACAUCGUGUAGUGAGACCUUCAUUAGGAUUUUCCCUUGGGGCUGUAAAUUUGCAAGGCUUUCCUUCCAGACAUUUUUUCUCAUUUAUUUUGCGUCAUCCUUCUCAUCUUUCAUGAAUUAGCAAAAGAAUGCAUCUCUGACCAUGAGUUUCACAAACUCUAAAAUUGGUCAACAUAUUUCUCACUACGAAUUAGUGUGCCAUAUACCGGAGUGUUCAAAUGGUUUUUGAGAUGAAUAGAUGAUUUUCCUCUUUCAAA